rnacentral:rRNA from 1 species
AGCAGCCGCGGUAAUUCCAGCUCCAAUAGCGUAUAUUAAAGUUGUUGCAGUUAAAAAGCUCGUAGUUGAAUUUCGGGACCAUCAUGUCGGUCGUGCCUCGGUACGUACUGGCAUUGUUGGUUUCUCCCUUCUGACGAACCAUGAUGUCAUUUAUUUGGUGUUGUGGGAAAUCAGGACUGUUACUUUGAAAAAUUAGAGUGUUUAAAGCAGGCUCACGCUUGAAUACAUUAGCAUGGAAUAAUGAAAUAGGACGUUUGAUUCUAUUUUGUUGGUUUCUAGGAUCGACGUAAUGAUUAAUAGGGAUAGUUGGGGGGCAUUAGUAUUCAAUUGUCAGAGGUGAAAUUCUUGGAUUUAUUGAAGACUAACUACUGCGAAAGCAUUUGCCAAGGAUGUUUUCAUUAAUCAAGAACGAAAGUUAGGGGAUCGAAGACGAUCAGAUACCGUCGUAGUCUUAACCAUAAACUAUGCCGAC